ensembl:lincRNA
UAGAGCUUACUCAGCUUCAUUGCCCUUCAGAGAAUGUUCUUGAAGUUUAUCUUCUAUGAAAUGACUGGUUGCUGACCUGGAUCAUAGUUUCUGGAGAAACUCUCAUUAGGAUUGUCGCAACGCUAAUAUUCUAUAGGUGAAACUUUCCUUUAGUUUUCAAAAGUAAAGAUACAAGAAUAAUUUGCCAAAACUUCUCUAGCCAUGAUGAGAGAACAGGGACCCAAAUCACACAUCUGCCAAAAACAACUGUAAAACUGUACAAAACGAACGAGGUGAGUGUUUUUAGUCUGUGACCACAGCUGUGCCAGCCAGAACCUGAGGGAGGGCAGGAGAAUGAAUGAGACACACCCACAGUACACCUGCCCUCUGGAGAACACCUGCAGAUCGCGGCGCCGAGAGCUCAGAUGUGGGAGGAGCAUGGCCAUCCUACCACGUCCAGAAGGCAGAGCUCGGAGAGAGCUCAGGUGUGGGCGGAGCAUGGCCACCCUACCACGUCCAGGAAGGGGAGAUCGGAGUGGGUGCAGGAUUGGAGCUCUCCACAGAUCCACACCAGCAGCUGAAUCAAUCCAAGCCUGCCCAUGUCACGAUGACCCAGCAGUGACUGUGCUACCUGCUAAAACAAGAGCUGGAAAGCUUCAGAGGAAGGUCAGGAAUCCUGAGUGUGCUCAACAUGUUACCCACAAUGUGUAAUAUUCAGCGAAUAAUCACUGCAUACAUAGAGAAACUGGAGGUAGAAUCUGUGGUCAAGAAAAAGGCAGUAAAAAGUGCACACACAUGCAGGAUGGUCUCUGUCACUCACCACAUGCGGCGGCUGAGCACAUGACGUGUGCCUGGUCUGAACUGGAUUUGCUGCGUGAAAGACAUGCCAGUUAAUAUAAAAAAUAGAAAAUAUUGUAUUUGUAAUUUUUUUUUUUUUGAGAUGGAGUCUUGCUGUGUCCCCCAGGCUGGAGUGCAGUGGCGUGAUCUCGGCUCACUGCAAUCUCCGCCUCCCGGGUUCAUGCCAUUCUCCUGCCUCAGCCUCCCAAGUUGCUGCCCGCUGCCACGCCUGGCUAAUUUUUUGUAUUUUUAGUAGGCACGGGGUUUCACCGUGUUAGCCAGGAUGGUCUCGAUCUCCCGAUCUCGUGAUCCACCCGCCUCGGCCUCCCAAAGUGCUGGGAUUACAGACUUGAGCCACCGCACCCGGCCUAUUUGUAUUUCUUAUUGAAAGUAUAGUAUGAGCAUUUUGAGAUAAAAAUAUACUAGUAAAAUUAAUUGUACCUGUUUAUGUAUUUAUAUGAGGCUACAACGAAGGUUUAAAGUUCUAUAACAGGACUCUCAUAAUUCUGUUGGAAAGUGCCAGUCUAGAUGUCUGAUACAGCAGAAGACCGAGUUUUUAAAUCUACAAUUAUAAAUAUUUAGGGAAUCAAAUUACAAUGUGUCAAAGAAAGAAAAUAUUUUAAUUCUUGAGCCAGAGGAAGGGAAGACACUUUUUACUAUAAUGGAGUUGGGGAAUUUCAGGUUACAUACACAAAAAUCUUGAGAAUUGUCACUCCCUCCUCACAGGUAAAAAGCUGAGCAAACUGAAAAAUCAGCAGCUCUUCUUAAACCUGCAAGAGACGUGAGGUCACAGGAAAGCCACUGUCCCCAGAUUGGCUGAAGAG